rnacentral:lncRNA from 1 species
AGAAAGCAGAGUGAUGGCUAAAGCUAACUGUAACAGUGGGCAUAACGGUGAUGAAGUUCAAAAAUGACCGGCGAUGGUAAUAUACUAUUCUCUCACGACACCAUGGCAAAACAAAUAAAAUAGUAUCCCAUAUACAACAUUAUACACAAAAACCAGUAACGCGAAUAAGUGUUUACCUGUGCAAAGUUGCUCUUGGAGUUGUUCUUGAAGAAACAAGUUUCUUCCAACUGAUUGAAUAUCCGAGAGCUUUGCCGCUAAAUCUUCACCUCCGGUCAAGCUUUGUGUGUAAUUUUUCUCUUGUUCUUCCUUGCUGCCCCCGUCUAAUUUUUUCUUUUUGCUUUUUUUUCUUUCCUUCCUCUCAAUACCCUCUCCCCUCUUCCUAACCGUUUUUUUUUUCGUCCAAAACCCUAAACCCUUUGCCAGCUCACCCUCUAGCCCCCCCUCUUCCUGAUCCCAAGAAAAAUCCCUUUUGCUAACAAACUUCUUUUUUUCUUUUUUUUUUGUUAACACGUUUUUUUUUAUCUUCUUUUUCUUUCUUUCGUUUUUUUUAUUAGCUUUUUUUCAUUCAUCAUUUUCAUUUUUAUUUCUUUUCUUUCUUUUUUUCAAAAGAAUAUAUAUAUAAAAAAAAUCAAAUCAGAUAAUAAUAAUAAAACUAAAUCAAAGUAAAUUAAACAUAAUAGAACAAAACAAAAUAAGACAAAAUAAAAACAAGUCCUAUUAUUAGCUACCCGGACGAAAUUGGGUGUUGACAGUAAUAUUUGGGAUUUUUUUAAGGAUGUAAAGUUGUAUUUGGAACAGUUAAUGUCAUUGUCAAUAAUGAAAGUUAUUUUUGUAAAGUAUAUUGUAUUGUGGUGAGCAUCCCCUUUGUUAUUUUUUCUUGUAUUACUUAAGUUAGUUGAAGCUAUGUAUAUGGGGGGGACCAAGUACAGGUAUGUCUGGGUUGGGAUAUAAGUUUAUGCAACGGUAAGCGAUUACACGGACACUGUAAUCGCUUACCAGCACGAAAAAUGAAAUUUGUACUAAAUCCUGAGAGGUGCUAACUGAGCCUGCCUAAAUGGCUCCCAAGUAUUGUCAAGUGAGGCAUGGGUGGUUGUGUCCUCUUGAACAACGUUGAAGGAAGUGGAGGUCACAUGGAACGGAAAGCGAUUACAGGGACCCUGUAANUUUUUUUUAAAAGAAAAGUAGAUAAAAAUAAAUUACAAGUAUAGAAAUAAGUUGGUAAAUUAUCAAAUAAAAAUAAAAAAUUUAAUGAUAGAAUAAAAAUAUAGUGGUGUAUAUAUAAAAAGAUGGGGUGUCUAAACUAUACUUAGAAAACUAAUUGGGCCUAAACCCAAGUGGCAAAGGGUGCACCUUAGAAAAAACAAGGGGUGCAAAUUUAAUUUUUUUGUCAAAUAUCAAAUUGGGUCUGAGCCCAAAUUAAAAAAAAACGACUUAGGAAAAAUAGGGAGUGUAGGGAAAAGUUAGUGUUUUUGUUCUGGCCCAGAGUUGGCCCAAGCAGAAAGGAUGUGAGGAGAACGAAACAGGGGUGCAGGCAGGUAUUCUCGUUUUUUUUUUUUUUUGACUUGGCCCAUAGUUAAUUUAGACAGAAAGGGGUGUGAAAAUGAGGAAAAGGGGGUCAGAGGGAAAUUGUUUCUAAUGGCCCAUGCUGGCCCAAACAACUUAAACUUUCAGAAACCCUAAGGGGUUCUCCCAAUCUGCCUCAUUUCGAAAUUCCACUCCAGAGACCAAGAGACCUAACGUCUCUUNCCCCCAGCCUAAGGACUCCACCUCCGACAGCCGCACUGCUUCCUCACCACCAACCUACCGGCCGCCGUGUCGCCACCCAGUUUUCCCUUAGCAUCACCGGCGCCGCUACACCAUUGNCGAUCGUGACAUCUUCACCUUCUCCGAAUGCUCUGGCGCGAGAAAGAGGGUAGGGCCCCGCCUCACAUAUGUCGUCACCUCUCUCCGAUAGCCACCACCACUUCGAACUAGCCACCGCCACUGUCAAUCCUUUGCGCCACCAAAGCCACUGUGAAUCCUAGCGACUCAACCAUAGCAACGACCACGUGAAUCUUCUUUUCGCGAACCAAAAACGCCACCUUAAAUUGCAAACCUCCAUAGCCGCCGCGUCGAUUCCCCCAUCUCCUCCAACAGUGCGCCACUAAUCUUCCUCAUUUUCUCACAAAACCAGUUUCUCUCCUUGCUCGCGCCAUCUCUAAUGGCGUCUCUGGGAACACCAAUGGACCGUGCUCCAAAAUGAAAAAUAAAAGGGGAACCGUUUCUGAGUUUUGCUCUAUGUGUGUGGGUGCAGGAAAUCGGUCCCUGCUUUGGGUUGUGGUUCCUGUUUCGAUGGUUCACAUUUGGAUAUUUGGUUGGUUUCUUUUCUUGCAGGUGAAAGGCGUUUGAUCACAAAGAGGAUUUUUCUGUGUUGUAGUGUAGUGGAUGAGAUUGGGAAUUUUUGUGUUGAUAGCAGGNAAUGGACAAAACCGUGAAGUUCCAAGGGAUGAACAGAAUGAUUCUGAUGCAGAUGAAGAUAUGGUACAAUUUUUGUGGAGACAAUUUUUGGGUUGUUAGUGGUUUUGGGUUAAUUUUAGAAGGGAGAGAUAUUUGGAUGUUUGAAGUAUGAAGAUGUUUGGUUUUUUUGCUUGGUGACUGAGGUUUCGAAUGGAGAAAGCAGAGUGAUGGCUAAAGCUAACUGUAACAGUGGGCAUAACGGUGAUGAAGUUCAAAAAUGACCGGCGAUGGUAAUAUACUAUUCUCUCACGACACCAUGGCAAAACAAAUAAAAUAGUAUCCCAUAUACAACAUUAUACACAAAAACCAGUAACGCGAAUAAGUGUUUACCUGUGCAAAGUUGCUCUUGGAGUUGUUCUUGAAGAAACAAGUUUCUUCCAACUGAUUGAAUAUCCGAGAGCUUUGCCGCUAAAUCUUCACCUCCGGUCAAGCUUUGUGUGUAAUUUUUCUCUUGUUCUUCCUUGCUGCCCCCGUCUAAUUUUUUCUUUUUGCUUUUUUUUCUUUCCUUCCUCUCAAUACCCUCUCCCCUCUUCCUAACCGUUUUUUUUUUCGUCCAAAACCCUAAACCCUUUGCCAGCUCACCCUCUAGCCCCCCCUCUUCCUGAUCCCAAGAAAAAUCCCUUUUGCUAACAAACUUCUUUUUUUCUUUUUUUUUUGUUAACACGUUUUUUUUUAUCUUCUUUU